rnacentral:rRNA from 1 species
AUGAACGCUGGCGGCGUGCCUAAUACAUGCAAGUCGAGCGAACAGAUGAGGAGCUUGCUCCUCUGACGUUAGCGGCGGACGGGUGAGUAACACGUGGAUAACCUACCUAUAAGACUGGGAUAACUUCGGGAAACCGGAGCUAAUACCGGAUAAUAUAUUGAACCGCAUGGUUCAAUAGUGAAAGGCGGUUUUGCUGUCACUUAUAGAUGGAUCCGCGCCGCAUUAGCUAGUUGGUAAGGUAACGGCUUACCAAGGCAACGAUGCGUAGCCGACCUGAGAGGGUGAUCGGCCACACUGGAACUGAGACACGGUCCAGACUCCUAAGGGAGGCAGCAGUAGGGAAUCUUCCGCAAUGGGCGAAAGCCUGACGGAGCAACGCCGCGUGAGUGAUGAAGGUCUUCGGAUCGUAAAACUCUGUUAUUAGGGAAGAACAAAUGUGUAAGUAACUAUGCACGUCUUGACGGUACCUAAUCAGAAAGCCACGGCUAACUACGUG